GAUGAACGCUGGCGGCGUGCUUAACACAUGCAAGUCGAACGGGAAUUAUUUUAUUGAAACUUCGGUCGAUUUAAUUUAAUUCUAGUGGCGGACGGGUGAGUAACGCGUGGGUAACCUGCCUUAUACAGUGGGAUAACAGUCAGAAAUGGCUGCUAAUACCGCAUAAGCGCACAGAGCUGCAUGGCUCAGUGUGAAAAACUCCGGUGGUAUAAGAUGGACCCGCGUUGGAUUAGCUGGUUGGUGGGGUAACGGCCCACCAAGGCGACGAUCCAUAGCCGGCCUGAGAGGGUGAACGGCCACAUUGGGACUGAGACACGGCCCAGACUCCUACGGGAGGCAGCAGUGGGGAAUAUUGCACAAUGGGGGAAACCCUGAUGCAGCGACGCCGCGUGAAGGAAGAAGUAUCUCGGUAUGUAAACUUCUAUCAGCAGGGAAGAUAGUGACGGUACCUGACUAAGAAGCCCCGGCUAACUACGUG
rnacentral:rRNA from 1 species